ACUGAACAAAUAUAACCAAAAACAUACCAUGUCUACUCUAAUUUGUUUGCUUUAUGUGACUGCAAUCAAGUUUACCUCCCCUGAAAGACCAAAGAGAAUCAACAGAAGAAUAAAAAUGUGUUAGAUUUUAUACGCUUACUUUUACUCAAGGUUAUUUUUCGUCAAAGGUACAGAGUGGAAAUGAGAAAACAACAUCUAAUACAGCAUUACCUUGGAAGUCUGAUGUCAGAGCUGGGAAUGACGAAGCACCAGAGUUGACGGCGGUCCAGUUAACAAGUCAGAAGAUCAAGACGGACGCCUACAGUUAGCUGUUGUUAGCUUUUGUCAGCUGUCGUUCGCCGUUGUCAGUUGUUAUCAGUUGUUGUUAGUAGUUGUCGUUAGCCGUUGUUGGUAGCAGUUGGUAGCAGUUGUCAGCUGUCGUUAGCCAUUGUCAGUUGUUGUCAGUGGUUGUUGUUAGUCAUUGUAAGUUGUUGUUAGCUGUUGUUUGUCGUUGUCAAUUGUUGUUAGCUGUUGUUAGCCAUUGUUGUUAGCUGUUGUCAGUUGUUGUUAGCUGUUGUUGUUAGUUGUUAUCAGCUAUCAUUAGCCGUUGUUAGUUGUUGUUAGCUGUUGUUGUUAGUUGUUGUCAGUUGUUGUUUGCUGUUGUUGUUGUCAGUUGUUGUUAGCUGUUGUUGUUAGUUGUUAUCAGCUAUCAUUAGCCGUUGUUAGUUGUUGUUAGCUGUUGUUGUUAGUUGUUGUCAGUUGUUGUUAGCCGUUGGCAGCUGUUGUUAGCUGUUGUUGUUAGUUGUUGUCAGUUGUUGUUUGCUGUUGUUGUUGUCAGUUGUUGUUAGCUGUUGUUGUUAGCUGUUGUCAGUUGUUGUUAGCCACUGUUGUUAACGGUUGGCAGCUGUUGUUAGCCAUUGUUGUUAGCCGUUGUCAGUUGUUGUCAGUUGUUGUCAGUUGUUGUUAGCCGCUGUUGUUAGCGGUUGGCAGCUGUUGUUAGCUGUUGUUGUUAGUUGUUGUCAGUUUUUGUUAGCUGUUGUAAGUUGUCAGUUGUUUGUAGCGGUUGUCAGUUUUCGUUAGCAGUUGUCAGUUGCUGUUGGCCAUUGUCAGUUGUUGUUGGCCGUUGUCAGUUGUUGUUAGCCGCUGUUGUUAGCAGUUGGCAGCUGUUGUUAGUUGUUGUCAGUUGUUGUUAGCUGUUGUAAGUUGUCAGUUGUUGUUGGCCGUUGUCAGCGGUUGUUGUUUGGCAAAAACCGCUUCCGUAAUGUCCAGACCAACCACAAUCUUCUACGUCAUCCAAACCAACUUUAAACCAAUCAUAUACUGCUAAAUUAUGCAGGUGGGCAUUCAUAAAAAUGUACAAAUGGGCUAAAUGAGGAUCAGACAAGAGUGGCAGAUAGUAAUAUUAAACUUUUUUAUGAUAAGUGGCUUUUAAAGCAUCAGAGCAGCUUUCUCUCCUUCUGGGCCACCAUUGAAUUACCAAGAGUGGGUGACAACUAGACAUCUCUAUUUUUUUCUUACUUUUCCAUGCGCUCUACCUCUGAGAUUUGAUGAAUAUUUAAUGUUCCCAAAGUUAUUACGUUCAUCCAGGAGGAUGCAUAAAUCUGGUCAUCGUGUAAAUCUGCAGAUCAACAACAGGAACCUCUUUUGAAAGGUUGUCCUUGUCUCUCGGGGUCGACAUGUCUUGACCCCUGUCUCGUCCCAAACCUGUGUUAACAUUCACGUUAAAAACACCCAGGGGUCCAAUCCGGUGGGAGCUAUAUACCAUUUAAGAGUGUGACGGACUGUUUCUUUAAGUUUAUGUGCUGCUAAAUUUUAUUUUCUCCCGCUGCUGAAGGGGGGAAAAACUCGCUGAUGAGUUCCUUUCUCACAGCUCGCUUUAAUUCGCAGGAAUCUCUGGCGUUUUCAUCGGUUUGUGCGGCUUCCCUGCGAGGCAUGUCUUCAAAGAAUGCGAGUGGACGGCGUUUCUUUUCCUGCGGUUUUUGAUUAAUUGCUUCUUCCUUUAAGAGGCCAAGUUGCAUUGUGGGAUGUACUUGCAUUGACCCUGUCAGCUGUGCGGCGUUGGUUGGCUGGUCUACUGGACUCUUGACCAAAGCCACCAAAGCCCUUGGGAAGAUUAACAUUCCUGUGAAGAGGGGAGGGGGGUACUGUUUCUUCUUGCCAUUAUAAAUAGUGAGGAUUAGUCCGAACACAACAAAACAAACACGGCUGUCUGCUGUGACAACAAACAACAAGUGCUGAUGAGGACGUGUAAAUCUUAAUUCUGCUCUUUCGUUAGUUUUCUGCAGCUCGUUCCUUAUUUUCCACUCCCACUUCUUCCCCUUCAGCCUUUAUCUGGACUUUCUGUGUGUGUGGGGUUUGACCGGUGCAUGUUUCUGAUGCUUUGCGGCUGCCAUGUUGACAUUCUGCGAGGCUUGGCCUGCAUUUCACAUUUGUGCAGGUCAGGGUGUUUUGUUUGCUUUAACUAUUAUGGGAGACCCCCAGUUGUUAUUUCGCACUUUGGAGGAACCUUUAAAAAUGCCUCUGUUGGCGUGGUAUGCUCCGCUGCACGGAGAAGACUUGAGCUUCAGGGGAGGUCUCUUUAGGGUCUAAUUCUGCCAGACUACAGUCAAGCUGUGGACCCGCUGACUGGUUUUAUUCUUCUGAGGCCUUAGAUACCCGGGCCACAUGCACGUACAUACAAGGCGGCCUUCAUUCAUGAGUCACACUAGAGUUUGUGUGCAGCAAACAUACAGUAGUCCUGAGCAAACUCCACACACAAAGUACCUUUAUUUUUCCAGACUUUACUCACGCUGCAUAUCUCCACUCUUUCAUGACUGACUUCACUUUAAAGUCGGACAAAGGGGAAUGUUCACGUACUUCCAUAGGAAUUACUCACACAUACAUCUGUUGGUGCAGAGGUUCAUUAACCUCUUUAACUCCUCCAUUCACCUCUCCGCUGAAAGCCCGCAGUAAUAAUCCAUAACUUGAGUCGUGUUCUUGGAUCGUGAUCAAGGUUUUUACUGCGCCAUUAAAGCUAUGUUUCAUUCCUAUAAUCCUGCCGGCAGUCAGGAGUUUUCCAGUAAAACUCUCUCAUAAAACAAACGAUGACUAUCCCUGUUAAAUCAGAUUGUUUCAGCGUUUACAAAAAUAGCUGCUCCUGCAACUCGUCUUUCUUGGCUCAGAGAAACUUUUCAGAUUCUUUCGAGGGUCGCUACACCCAGAUGUUCAAAGUUGUUGGCCUGACGUAUUAUCACCUCAUAAAGUUAGAAUGACAUUAGGCUGCCUUUUACACAUAAAACAAAGAUCGCUGCAGAACAUUUGGAGUUAUGAUACAUGAAACCGUACGAAAAGUGUAAAUUUAGUCUAAUCUCUGUCCUUAAAGUCCCACUCCAAUCGUUUUUUUUUACUACUUACAGUGUUCCAAGUGGUCUUUAAAAUAAGAUUAUGAAGUUUUUAGCCAAAAUUACGUUACCAGUUUCAUUUUCAAGGAUUUUUCUUCUGCAGAGCUCCAGUAGCUCAUUAGCAAUUCGCCUCUGAGUCGUGGGCGGAGACAGCGCCGCUCUGCACACUCCUCUUCACGCUAGCUUGCAGCCUAAACCCCAUUUUCCACCACAUCGCGAAUGGCUCCACUACGGAAUGGCAGCAAUUCUCGCUUUCUACCAAUUCCUACUGUUCUGUUUGUGAGGCACUUUUUGUGGCGGAUUACAGACAGCGGGAAUCGCAAGAACUCACAAGAACCCAUGGACUCAUGUGCAAUCACGCGACAACGAGUCAUUUCUAUAAAGACAGCCACAUAACCAUAAAAGCAGUAGAUUGUGUCCUUCCAGAGGAGGAAAUCUACUUCUAGACUUCUAGAAUCAGCAUCUCCUCAUCCAUGGUGUCAUCAGGGUGAAAUGACGUCUACAAACCUUUCACUUGUUCGUGGUGUGAAAUAUGAUCCGCCUGAAACACGGAAUGUUUUAUUUUGAAAAGAAGCAGGACGUUUUAGUUUGUGUCUGUGCCUGACUUCUUUUCCAGCACGGGUUAAUCUGAGCUGAAUUUAUCUAACCGCAGCGGAACAGAAAGAAGAAUGGAAACAAUCAGCUGCAAUCGGCGGAUACGGCCUUUUUGCCGCCGUUCCAGAUGCGGUGGAAAUUGGGGGAUAACAUUGCCGGUGUAGUAGAAGUAGCAGGUAACAUAGGAGCUAUUCAGCUCUCUGACACUUAAGGGGAAUGACAAAAGUUAAUAUCACAAUUAGCUUUCUUACGAGCAUUUCAAUCGACUAACGAACACGCUACUUCCGUGAUCGUCCUCUCUACAUUUCGGAGUCUGUCCUGCAUAGUGGGACUCAGGGGGCGGAGCUUGGAUUUGUUACGUAGGAAAUCUGACUGUAUCUGAACCUGCCGUUUGGAUUUGAAUUCAGAAAUACUCAAAAAUACAAUUUCACACUUACUUUUCUCAUAAUUUGUCCUCUAGCAUCAGAAAUAUGAUUAUAUGAACAGGUAGACAACAAGAAAAACAUGAUUUUCAUCAGAGUGGGUCUUUAAAUCUCUGGACAAUCAAACAAGCAUCUCAAUUGUGAUGUUAGCGGCAGCUUGUGCACCUAAAGCUUCUAUUUGAGAUGUCUGCAUGACUCUGAAUCCUACGACUCAUCUUUCAGUCCAGAGAUUUACAUAAAAGUGAGUCCAGAUGCAGUUUAAAGUUCACUUUAAAUGAACUGGAACUGUUGAGUCUGCUGUAAUGUCAUGUUUUAUCUGUCUGAGAGUCAGUCAUAAUAAGAAAUGAAACAUAUUCAACUGGAUUUACAUCUACAUUGAAAAACGGUCUUUUACUUUCACUUUAAAUGCUUCUAAUUUCUCAUCAUCUCCAACACAAACACAGACAGGCCCUCUGUUUAUUUUCCCAAGAUAGCGUCUCGCUGCUAUCACUCGCAGAAAUAAAUAUCCAGACCUGGGUCCUGGCCCUUUCUAUCUGUUCUGCACUGUUGAAAAUGGUGUCCCAGAGAUGCGGGGCGGGGAGCAGGGGAAACAAUUUCCCUGUCAUUUUAGUCAUUACCUCUGCUCCUUAUCAUCGCGGAUGUUUGUCUAAGAAAUCCUGCAUAUGCACGGCCUUUUGAGGAUGAGGAUGGUAUUACUUUCAAUAGUUCCUCUUCUACAGAUUGUCUCUUAUUGUGCAGGAUUAUAAGUGAAGUCAUGCAGUGCAAAUGGAGAAAAGAUGCAGGUUUAGCAUAUCAGUUUACUUUGCUAUAAAACCUCCUCCUCAUUUCUAUUCUGCAGCAGUAGUCGCUGAUGGUAACGUUUUGCCCACGCUCCCUAAUAACUGUCAGUGAUGCUGUGAAUCCCGUCGUCAUACGAGAUGAAACCGACCUCCUGUGUGGGCUUUGUUUGAAGAGGCUGCGCUCAUAAACAACCCACUAGGGAGCUGCAGCAGGAUGUUUAUGUGGAUGUGAGGUAGAAUGAAUUAGGAACCGCAGGAGUUCACCGAGGCCCUCGCCGCUCACACAAACAUACACGUAUUCGCCAAAUGCGCACGCCGUACAGCGCUAAAAGAUUCUGUUUUUCUCCUGUAACCACCACUAUUUAAAAAAAAAACCUCUAAUACUCACUAAAGCAGCUUUAACAACCUUUAUUUGAGUUUUGCAUGCUCUGCAGCGCCGCUAUAAAAGCACUUUCUCACACUAACUGACAGAGAAGAGUCCAUCAGUCCGGUGCACAUCUGCAAAGUUUUAACCCCAAACCUAAACCAGAAGUCUAACACCGUAACACACACCAUCAAAACACACGAACACAAACAACAGAUUUGCACAAUUUCUGCAUCUACAAGCGUUUUAGUUGUUCUGAAAUUUUAACCAUAUGUCCACAGCUAAGCACGCAUCUUGUGGUGGACGUUUUUUUUUUGUUGCCCUCCCACUUUUGUUCUUAUCUGUGCUCAGCUUAUUUUCUGCAUCUCAGUGCAGUUUCAGUGCAGCAGCCCCUUGUUUGAACUCUGAUUGUGAGGCUGGUUCCCCCGGGACAGCGCUCACAGGACAACAGCUAUUACAUUUAUACUGUUACUAACACACCAAGGGCCGUCCAUUCACUUUUGUCUGGUGUGUUACACUGAUAAAUGGAGAUGAGGGGGUCAAAAGUUUAGCUAUUGAAUAGAAAAUAUAUCAAACUUAUUGGAUCAUGUCAGUUUUACAGAAACAAAAAGCGCCUUCUCAAUCAGAGGUUGUGUAUCUGCUCUGCAAAAGUGUCCAAGUAUGAAUAAGUCGUACCUAGGGCUGCAUGAUUUCUCUGAAAACUCCAUUUUUGAUUUCGAAUUGUGACAACUUCACCAAAUCUUCAAUAAACAGUUUUUCUAUCAUCUCUCAAAACGAAACCACUGAAAACAAUGGAGUGCGUAUGCCAAGCCAGUAAGUGGCGCUGUAACGCUGCUGAGGAGAUGAAGAAAAGACAGAAGAAGAGUACAGAUAGACAUCCACACAGAGAUGAAAUGGUCGUCGUUUACACUUUCGUAUUUGUUUUCAAAGUCAAACGCCAUUUCUGACAAAGAACUUUUGCAUUUACUCCUGAAUUCGUUGAUACCGCCUUCAGACAGACUUUGCAGCAGGGAGUGGUUUGCUCUUCAUCCGAAACUGUGAAGCUGUACCAAUUCCACACGACUGACUCGCUCUUGUUUGAUUUAGCCACGAAAUUAUCGCCUUCUUCUGCAAACGCCAUGUUGGAAGAAGGGGCAGCCUGGAGACAUGAUAGAGAGGAAAACUGAUUAGAUUAGGGUGACCAUAUUCUGACUUCCCAAAAAGAGGACACAACUAUGCGGGGGCGGAGUCACGGAGUCACACAAAGUUAAUUUAGUUUUUCCGGGUCGGAUCAAGUGUCUUUUACGCGCUUCUAACUCAGUAAGUCCACAUGACACAAAAUUGAAACUUACGUUCAAAACCGCAGAAAUUUGAAGGAUUUUAUAAACUUCCCCAGACAAUCCCGGACUGCCCCCCAAAAAGAGAGGACAUAUGGUCAACCUAGAUUUGAUGAUUUUAAGUUUUUUAACAUCGUCAUAAUCAAAUAAUCUGAUUACGAUUUAAAAUCGAACAAUCGUAUAGCUCUAAUUGUACCUAAAAGUUCCCAGACAAAAGCCUCUUGAGCAUUUCCACCUUGCUGUGACAUGUUCUCUACGGCGUACUGAUUUAACGCUGCUGUUCCUCUAAAUGUACCUCGUUUGUGAAAACAAAGUUGCUUGAAAUAUAGUGUCUGUUGGCUCUUUCUCAGGUUUUAUGUUUCCAGCAGCAACAACAGAGGCCCCGGACAGAAUUACCACGAGGAUACAGCGAAGUGAAAAAGAGAAAAAGGAUAUUAAAAAAAGAAACGGCUUUCUGCAAGAGUCCCUGGGUUGGUGAUUUUACAGAGAUGUCACCCAAAGUGAGUAAAUCCCACAUAAUCCCAUUUUAAUAUGUCAAAAUUUAAUUCGGCGUGAUCCACAGCCCCCGGCCUCGCUGCCAAACACCCUAGAAGGGAAAACCCAGCAGUGAAAAUGAGGGUCUUUCAGGGUCAAACUCAUGCUUAACUUCAUAUGGCCAAACCUGACUGCUCAACUGACUCCCUCAGCGCUGCCGAACAGAGGCUUUAAAGAGAGAAAAAAGGAUGUGAGUGUGUUGAUUCUUUCUGUGCGUGCAUGUUUGUGUUUGGAGGAGUGAAUCGUCUUAUAAACUCGCGCCUACACCACCCGUCCGCCGCCUGCAGCAGCAGCAGCAGCAGCCGCAGCCGCAGCAGGUUCAGCAGCAUAACAGUGAAACCUCAUCCAAAGCAAACACCACACCACUACCUCUGUUUCACUUUGGAUUCCUGCUACUUUGGAAUUUUUGUUUUCUAAAAGGUGCUCUUUGUCCGCACGCUGACGUGUAUUGAUCUGGCGAGGCACGUGGGAGUCCACCCCUCACUUAAAACCGGCCCAGGAGAGCUGUUUAGCUGAAACAGACAUCGAAACAGUCUGAAUAUGCAUGUUCACUAUAGAAGGAAAGUUGAUUACCGGUGCUCCUACUCUACCCUCCUUGUACCUACAGUCGCAGAAAAAUGGAUUUAUUCAAGCAGCUCCUUAGACGAACGACCUGACAAAGCCUUUUCAGUUGGAAUAAACAGGAAAAGUUAGGAGUUCUCAAUUAAAAGUCAAGCUUUUAAAAAUAGUCAUAAGGCGUUUGGUUUUUCCCUGCAAACGGUGAGACAUGCCAGCAUACAAAGCCCGGCAUUCAUACACAGGUCCGCCGUCCCCUACGCCCACUCCUCCGACAGCCUCAGAGAGCAGCGGCCAACAGGAUGGAGAGGAAAGCAGAGCUGAUAUUUCAUGGAAAGGAACAACAUGAACAGCGGCGAACGAAUGAAUAGUCCCCUCAACACACCGACGGCUUUAAAUGUUGAGGUCUGAGGGACGAGUGUUUGAGGACAACGCACCAGUGUUUCCAACCCGACCAUGUUCAGUUUUCACCAAAAUGAAAGGUGCAACUGGGACUGAGAAGCUGUUUAAACUAUAAAGUCUGUACAUUAUGGUUCAAGACACUUCAUCACAGACUAUAAAUGCUCGCUUUUAUCCUCAUAGGAGUGGUCAUUUUACUUAAAACAGUUUUCAGUAUAAAAACCGCAUAAAGUUUCCUGAAUAAACUUGUUCUUGCACCCAAAUCGAGCCGUCCUCUAAACCCCAAAACAUAGAAAGACGUAGAGAAAAUAUAACUUAGAAGACUAAAGGAUGUUGUCAAAAGGAAAAGACGGCAGUAUUUGUGUGGAAAUGUAA